UGCGCAGGCGGUUCGUUGUGUCUGAUGUGAAAUCCCCGGGCUCAACCCGGGAACUGCAUUGGAAACUGGCGGACUUGAGUGCGGCAGAGGGGGUGGAAUUCCGCGUGUAGCAGUGAAAUGCGUAGAGAUGCGGAGGAACACCGAUGGCGAAGGCAGCCCCCUGGGCCGACACUGACGCUCAGGACGAAAGCGUGGGGGAGCAAACA
rnacentral:rRNA from 1 species